UACGGGGGGAGCAAGCGUUGUUCGGAUUUACUGGGCGUAAAGGGCGCGUAGGCGGCCACCGCAAGUCGACUGUGAAAUCUCCGGGCUUAACCCGGAAAGGUCAGCCGAUACUGCGGGGCUAGAGUGCAGAAGGGGCAACUGGAAUUCUCGGUGUAGCGGUGAAAUGCGUAGAUAUUCGCAGGAACACCAGUGGCGAAGGCGGCUUACUGGUCCAUUACUGACGCUGAGGUGCGAAAGCGUGGGGAGCAAACAGG
rnacentral:rRNA from 1 species